GGGCGGUUAGCUCAGUUGGUAGAGCAUUCGAUUUACACUCGAAAUGUCACAGGUUCGAGCCCUGUACCGCCCA
rnacentral:tRNA from 1 species